CCUACGGGGGGCAGCAGUGGGGAAUAUUGGGCAAUGGAGGCAACUCUGACCCAGCAACGCCGCGUGAAUGAUGAAGGUCUUCGGAUUGUAAAGUUCUUUUCUAAGGGAAGAAGAAAGUGACGGUACCUUAGGAAUAAGCCUCGGCUAACUACGUGCCAGCAGCCGCGGUAAUACGUAGGAGGCAAGCGUUAUCCGGAAUGACUGGGCGUAAAGGGUGCGUAGAUGGCAUAGUAAGUCUUUUGUAAAAAUGCUGGGCUAAACCCAGUAGGGCAAAAGAUACUGCAAAGCUAGAGUAUGACAGAGGCAAGUGGAACUACAUGUGUAGCGGUAAAAUGCGUAAAUAUAUGUAAGAACACCAGUGGCGAAGGCGGCUUGCUGGGUCGAUACUGACAUUGAGGCACGAAAGCGUGGGGAGCAAACAGGAUUAGAUACCCUUGUAGUC
rnacentral:rRNA from 1 species